rnacentral:rRNA from 1 species
UACGAAGGGGGGCUAGCGUUGCUCGGAAUCACUGGGCGUAAAGCGCACGUAGGCGGAUUGCUAAGUCAGGGGUGAAAAUCCUGGAGCUCAACUCCAGAACUGCCUUUGAUACUGAGGAUCUUGAGUCCGGGAGAGGCGAGUGGAAUUCCUGGUGUAGCGGUGGAAUGCGCAGAUAUCAGGAGGAACACCAAUAGCGAAGGCAGCUCGCUGGGACGGUACUGACGCUAAGGCGCGAAAGCGUGGGGAGCGAACGAGG